CCGAAGCUUAGUGAUCUAAUUAUGAACUGGUUGAGUCCACAAUAAAAUGUGGAGGAGGACCUAAGUCGUAUAUGUGGCAAAAUAUUGAUGAGAUUUGUAAUUAGGGGUGAAAGACUAAUCAAACUAAGUUAUAGCUGGUUUUCUGCGAAAAUUAUUUUAGUAAUGCGCUAUAAAAUUUUAAUAUUUGGGGUAUAGCUCUAGUUGAAUUUAAGUGUUUUAUUACUUAUUAAAUUUAGUUAAACUAAGAAUACAAAUAUUGAAUUAUAGCAGUCAGACUCUUAGCGCUAAGGUUGUGAGUCGAAAGGGAAAAAACCCAGAUCGUAAGCUAAAGCCCC
rnacentral:rRNA from 14 species